rnacentral:rRNA from 1 species
UGUGUAGGCGGAUCGUUAAGUGCUUUGUGAAAUCCCACGGCUCAACCGUGGAAUUGCUUGGCAUACUGGCGAUCUUGAGCCACUUAGGGGCAACUGGAACAAACGGUGGAGCGGUGAAAUGCGUAGAUAUCGUUUGGAACGCCAAUGGUGAAAACAGGUUGCUGGGAGUGUGCUGACGCUGAGACACGAAAGCCAGGGGAGCAAACGGGAUUAGAUACCCCGGUAGUCCUGGCCCUAAACGAUGUCCACUAGAUCGUAGCAGCUCUGACGUUGUUAUGGUCGAAGUAAAAAUGUUAAGUGGACCGCCUGGGAAGUACGGUCGCAAGGCUGAA